GUGCUUGCUUAAGCAACACAUAUACUAAAAUUGGAAUGUUACAGAGAAGAUUAGCAUGGCUCCUGCAUAAGGGUGACAUGCAAAAUUGCAAAGCAUUCCAUAUAUUU